rnacentral:misc_RNA from 1 species
UAGGCUUGACAUACACGAGAAACCCUCGAGAAACCGAGGGCCUCCUUCGGGACUCGUGCACAGGUGCUGCAUGGCUGUCGUCAGCUCGUGUCGUGAGAUGUUGGGUUAAGUCCCGCAACGAGCGCAACCCUCGCUUCCAGUUGCUACCGGGUAAUGCCGAGGACUCUGGAAGGACUGCCGGUGCCAAACCGGAGGAAGGUGGGGAUGACGUUUAGGAGCUCGAC